rnacentral:rRNA from 1 species
UACGGAGGGUGCGAUCGUUGUCCGGAAUCACUGGGCGUAAAGGGCGCGUAGGCGGCGCGGGUAGUCAUCGGUGAAAGUUCAGGGCUCAACUCUGAAUCGGCCGGUGAUACUCCCGUGCUCGAGCACUGUAGAGGCAGGUGGAAUUCCGGGUGUAGCGGUGGAAUGCGUAGAGAUCCGGAAGAACACCGGUGGCGAAGGCGGCCUGCUGGGCAGUAGCUGACGCUGAUGCGCGACAGCGUGGGGAGCAAACAGG